CCUACGGGAGGCUGCAGUGAGGAAUAUUGGUCAAUGGACGGAAGUCUGAACCAGCCAUGCCGCGUGCAGGAAGACGGCUCUAUGAGUUGUAAACUGCUUUUGUACAAGGGUAAACCUGAAUACGUGUAUCCAGCUGAAAGUACUGUACGAAUAAGGAUCGGCUAACUCCGUGCCAGCAGCCGCGGUAAUACGGAGGAUCCAAGCGUUAUCCGGAUUUAUUGGGUUUAAAGGGUGCGUAGGCGGAUUUUUAAGUCAGCGGUAAAAUGUUCGGGCUCAACCCGGGCCGGCCGUUGAAACUGGGGGUCUUGAGUGCGCGAGAGGUAUGCGGAAUGCGUGGUGUAGCGGUGAAAUGCAUAGAUAUCACGCAGAACUCCGAUUGCGAAGGCAGCAUACCGGCGCCCGACUGACGCUGAGGCACGAAAGCGUGGGGAUCGAACAGGAUUAGAUACCCCAGUAGUC
rnacentral:rRNA from 1 species